rnacentral:rRNA from 1 species
CCCACUAUGCCCAGCCCUAAACUUAGAUAGCAAAAUACCACCUAUCCGCCAGAGAACUACAAGCAAAAUACUUAAAACUCAAAGGACUUGGCGGCAUUCCAUAUCAACCUAGAGGAGCCCGUCCAAUAAUCGAUAAUACGCGCUCAACCCAACCAUUUUUGGCCACUCCAGCCUAUAUACCGCCGUCGUCAGCUAACCUUAUGAAAGAAAAGAAGUAAGCACAACAGCCCCCACUAAAACGUCAGGUCAAGGUGUAGCUAAUAAAAUGGAUGUGAUAGGCUACAUUUUCUAUCAUAGAAAAUAACGGAAAAUACAAUGAAACCUUGUAAUAGAAGGUGAAUUUAGAAGUAAACUAAGAAAGAAUCCUUAUUUUAACCUCGCUCUGGAAUGCGCACACACCGCCGUCACC